rnacentral:rRNA from 1 species
UGGUGGCGUGUCUUAUACAUGCAAGUCGAGCGGGGCAGCAAUGCCCAGCGGCGAACGGGUGAGUAACGCGUAAGCAAUCUGCCCCAUAUCAGGAAAUACCCGUGCCAACGCGCGGUUAAUGUCCAGGAGCGUGGCUUCCCGCAUGGGAAGUUGACAAGAGAUUUAUCGGUAUGGGAUGAGCUUGCGUCCGAUUAGCUAGUUGGCGGGGCAACGGCCCACCAAGGCGACGAUCGGUAGCCGGCCUGAGAGGGUGAUCGGCCACAUUGGGACUGAGAUACGGCCCAGACUCCUACGGGAGGCAGCAGUAGGGAAUAUUGCACAAUGGGGGAAACCCUGAUGCAGCAACGCCACGUGUGGGAAGAAGCAUUUCGGUGUGUAAACCACUGUCGUGAGGGAAUAAGGCGUCUUCUCGGAGACGUUGAAUGUACCUCGAAAGGAAGCACCGGCAAACUUCGUGCCAGCAGCCGCGGUAAUACGAGGGGUGCAAGCGUUGUUCGGAAUCACUGGGCGUAAAGGGAGCGUAGGCGGAGAUGCAAGCGGACUGUACAAUACCGGGGCCCAACCCCGGGCCUGCAGUUCGGACUGCACCUCUUGGAUAGUUCAGGGGCAGGCGGAAUUCCUGGUGUAGCGGUGGAAUGCGUAGAGAUCAGGAAGAACACCGAUGGCGAAGGCAGCCUGCUGGGGACUCAUCGACGCUGAGGCUCGAAAGUGCGGGUAGCAAACAGGAUUAGAUACCCUGGUAGUCCGCACCGUAAACGAUGCAUACUGGGUGUCCGGGGUUCGCCCCGGGUACCGCAGCAAACGCGUUAAGUAUGCCGCCUGGGGAGUACGUACGCAAGUAUGAAACUCAAAGGAAUUGACGGGGGCCCGCACAAGCGGUGGAGCAUGUG